rnacentral:rRNA from 1 species
GAUGAACGCUGGCGGCGUGCCUAAUACAUGCAAGUCGAGCGGUAAGGCCCUUCGGGGUACACGAGCGGCGGACGGGUGAGUAACGCGUAAGAACAUACCCCAAACUGAGGGAUAACUGCUCGAAAGAGUAGCUAAUACCGCAUGUGCUCUUCGGAGUAAAGCUUCGGCGGUUUGGGAAUGGCUUGCGUCCGAUUAGCUAGUUGGUAAGGUAAUGGCUUACCAAGGCGACGAUCGGUAGCUGUUCUGAGAGGAUGAUCAGCCACACUGGAACUGAGACACGGUCCAGACUCCUACGGGAGGCAGCAGUAGGGAAUUUUCCACAAUGGGGGCAACCCUGACGGAGCAACGCCGCGUGCAGGAUGAAGGCCUUCGGGUUGUAAACUGCUUUUGUCUGUGACGAAUAUGACGGUAGCAGACGAAUAAGGAUCGGCUAACUACGUGCCAGCAGCCGCAGUAA